UGUAUGUAUGUAUGUGUGUGUAUGUGUGUAUGUGUGUAUGUAUCUGUCUGUCUAUCGGAGUGUGUGUUAGCAAUCAUUAGAGGACAACUUGUGGGAGUUGGUUCUCUCUUCCAUCUUGUGGGUUCCAGGGUCUGAAAUCAGGUCAACAGGCUGAGUGGAAAGCACCGUCUAAAGUAAUGAACAACUUUGAGUCAAAGGACCAUGAGAGGGCUAGACCUCAAACUACCAUAGAGUAUGUGCCGGUCACUCAGAGGAGCUGGCGUAUAAGAACAAGCCCUGUCCAAGGUAGCAGAGGGUGGAUUCUCUUCUCUGAAGGUCUGGAGCUCUGACUCAGGUUAGGUUCUCAAGUAAAAUCACAAUUGCAAGUGUAACUUCAGCUGAGAGAGGUGACCUAGAGAACUUCCAAUUUCAGAUAAGCGGUUUUAUUUUAUUUUUUAGAGAAAAUCCCUGUCCAUAUUCUGUACUCACAUCAGGAUUUAUUAAACACUGUGAAAAGAAGGAUGUAAAAUGAGCCUUCCUGGAACCUGGGGACAUACAUACACACAAGUGGGACUUGGCCAGCAGAGAAGAUUAUCAACUGAAAAUCCCUGAAGAAAAGCCUUGCCUUUGGUGAAUAUUUUAUAAGGGUGACUGUUAUGCCCAGAUAAGGACCCCCAAAGAGACCACCAGGAGACCAGAUAUAUCCAGAAUGCAAUAGCAAGGUUUACUUCUUGGCACAAUACGAGCUAGCAAGGAACCCUCGUCCGCAGUGCCUGGCGCAGCGAGGCAGGGAGGAGAGUUCCUCUUUCUUGGGGAGAUUAGCUUUUGAAGGCAAAAACCACAAAAUUCUUCAGAGGAGGGGGUUAGUACGGGUCCACCCUUGAUUGGUCCAGUUUUCCUGAGUUUGGACUUUUAUCUUAUUUUUUGCUCUGUCAGGAGUUUUACAGCCCAUCUCCAAAAUUUGGUCAUAUUAUCUCAGGGGAGGGGGGCGUCUAGUGGUUAGUUACCACCAGACAGUCUGAUUUUGUACUUUUAAAACUUCUGACUUCACCCUGUCUGGGAAUGGGGAACUGACUUAGUUCUGGCUGUUUUAAGAUGUCCCUUUCCUCAGCUCUCCGGGCCUUAGGGGGAACUGGGGUGGGGGUCUCUCAUGACUAAAUAGAACUUCUGUGAUUUCAGAGUUAGAAUUGUUAGCACUCAGGCAGUUACACUGGCCUGCGCAGGGUCCUGACGGAACACGUCAUCAAUUACAGCGGCUACAUCACUGUGUAGUCCCUGUGUGCACGAACUACACCCCCUUAAAAAGCACGCCCCGCCCCUUUCCCAAUCCUUUUCUACCUCCACUUCUCCUCAGAAGCCUCUGCUUUCCUUGCCUUCCCCCAGUAAACCUCCCAAAUGAGUUCUGUUGCGCGGUGUGACGACUCUCUCCCACUGUUAACUACAAUGUCGAUGCUAUCCGACUUGGCAGGCUCCCUUGGUGGUUCCUCCUGACCCCCAGCAGGCUGAGGCAUGCCGGGACCCUGUAAUCAGUCUACCUACAACAGCCUCACGUUUCCAACUAACCAGUCACUGGGCUCUUCAUCCAACACCAGCAGGAUUGCUGUUUACUGUGCGGCAUACACUAAACAAGGAACCUGUGGUUACCUGUUCUCAAGGAAGGAAGCCGGCAGGAAGUCAACAUAGGGAGAACAUCUGGUGAAGGUCAGCAAGCAAGGCAGCAGCUACCCAAGGAGCGGGGCCAGGGCCUGACACUUUGCAACUUUUGCCGGUGACUGGGCAAAUGGAAGGAGAGUACCACCAAGAACACCUGCUUCUCACCCUCUUCAAGUAUGUGGAUGAUCUCAUCAUCAAUGCAUGCACCCUGAAGGAGUGCCAGCAAUCUAUGAAGGAUCCGCUUGACAUGCUCCAGCUACCAAGUGUCUGCAAAAAGACCUAGUUUUCUGAAAAGGUACCUUAUCUGAGGUAAAAUAACUUAUCUAUGCUGUUGCUUAGAUGAUGACAACAGGACCCUGCCCUCCCUCAAGCAGAUACCAAGUUAUAUUACCACAGGAUAAAAGGACGGGGCAGUGCUUCAAGGUCAAAGCUGGAACAGCUACCCACUAUAACCAGCCUCUCAGGAAAGGCAGACAUGACCCUAUUGACUGAUGGAAGUGGCUAUGUACCGUAUGGAGUCAGGUCUGCAGGAGCAGCUGUGGUGACACUCACUGAGUCCUUACAGGCAUUGCAGCAGACGACCCAGGACAUCCAGAGUCUCCCACCUCCACCACCAUCCCUACCUUUUACUCGAUCAGCACACAAGUUUCAACCUGGGAAUUGGUGUGGGUUUCCUGCCUACCAAGCAAAACCUGGAACCUGGGAGGGGCUGUCAUCCUGACCACCAUUCCAAUCUAAAGACCGACAUGACCUGCCCCCCCCCAAAAAAAAAUAAAAUAAAAAAUAAAAGUGGAGGGUACCCUGA